UAAGGAAUAUUGGUCAAUGGACGGAAGUCUGAACCAGCCAUGCCGCGUGAAGGAUUAAGGCCCUCAGGGUUGUAAACUUCUUUUACAGGGGAAGAAAAGUACUUUAUGUAAGGUAAAUGACGGUACCUUGUGAAUAAGCACCGGCUAACUCCGUG
rnacentral:rRNA from 1 species